rnacentral:rRNA from 1 species
UGGGGAAUAUUGCACAAUGGAGGGAACUCUGAUGCAGCGACGCCGCGUGAGUGAUGAAGGACUUCGUUUCGUAAAACUCUGUUCUAUGGGAAGAAAAGGACUGUACCAUAGGAGAAAGCUCCGGCUAAAUACGUGCCAGCAGCCGCGGUAAUACGUAUGGAGCAAGCGUUGUCCGGAAUUAUUGGGCGUAAAGGGUGCGCAGGCGGCUUUACAAGUUGGAUGUGAAAUAUUGUGGCUCAACCACAAACGUGCAUCCAAAACUGCAAAGCUUGAGUUAAGGAGAGGUAAGUGGAAUUCCUGGUGUAGCGGUGGAAUGCGUAGAUAUCAGGAGGAAUACCGGUGGCGAAGGCGACUUACUGGACUUAAACUGACGCUCAGGCACGAAAGCGUGGGGAGCAAACAGG